AUAACCGGCGAUUUCCGAAUGGGGAAACCCAGUGUGUUUCGACACACUAUCAUUAACUGAAUCCAUAGGUUAAUGAGGCGAACCGGGGGAACUGAAACAUCUAAGUACCCCGAGGAAAAGAAAUCAACCGAGAUUCCCCCAGUAGCGGCGAGCGAACGGGGAGCAGCCCAGAGCCUGAAUCAGUGUGUGUGUUAGUGGAAGCGUCUGGAAAGGCGCGCGAUACAGGGUGACAGCCCCGUACACAAAAAUGCACAUGCUGUGAGCUCGAUGAGUAGGGCGGGACACGUGGUAUCCUGUCUGAAUAUGGGGGGACCAUCCUCCAAGGCUAAAUACUCCUGACUGACCGAUAGUGAACCAGUACCGUGAGGGAAAGGCGAAAAGAACCCCGGCGAGGGGAGUGAAAAAGAACCUGAAACCGUGUACGUACAAGCAGUGGGAGCACGCUUAGGCGUGUGACUGCGUACCUUUUGUAUAAUGGGUCAGCGACUUAUAUUCUGUAGCAAGGUUAACCGAAUAGGGGAGCCGAAGGGAAACCGAGUCUUAACUGGGCGUUAAGUUGCAGGGUAUAGACCCGAAACCCGGUGAUCUAGCCAUGGGCAGGUUGAAGGUUGGGUAACACUAACUGGAGGACCGAACCGACUAAUGUUGAAAAAUUAGCGGAUGACUUGUGGCUGGGGGUGAAAGGCCAAUCAAACCGGGAGAUAGCUGGUUCUCCCCGAAAGCUAUUUAGGUAGCGCCUCGUGAAUUCAUCUCCGGGGGUAGAGCACUGUUUCGGCAAGGGGGUCAUCCCGACUUACCAACCCGAUGCAAACUGCGAAUACCGGAGAAUGUUAUCACGGGAGACACACGGCGGGUGCUAACGUCCGUCGUGAAGAGGGAAACAACCCAGACCGCCAGCUAAGGUCCCAAAGUCAUGGUUAAGUGGGAAACGAUGUGGGAAGGCCCAGACAGCCAGGAUGUUGGCUUAGAAGCAGCCAUCAUUUAAAGAAAGCGUAAUAGCUCACUGGUCGAGUCGGCCUGCGCGGAAGAUGUAACGGGGCUAAACCAUGCACCGAAGCUGCGGCAGCGACGCUGAUGCGUUGUUGGGUAGGGGAGCGUUCUGUAAGCCUGCGAAGGUGUGCUGUGAGGCAUGCUGGAGGUAUCAGAAGUGCGAAUGCUGACAUAAGUAACGAUAAAGCGGGUGAAAAGCCCGCUCGCCGGAAGACCAAGGGUUCCUGUCCAACGUUAAUCGGGGCAGGGUGAGUCGACCCCUAAGGCGAGGCCGAAAGGCGUAGUCGAUGGGAAACAGGUUAAUAUUCCUGUACUUGGUGUUACUGCGAAGGGGGGACGGAGAAGGCUAUGUUGGCCGGGCGACGGUUGUCCCGGUUUAAGCGUGUAGGCUGGUUUUCCAGGCAAAUCCGGAAAAUCAAGGCUGAGGCGUGAUGACGAGGCACUACGGUGCUGAAGCAACAAAUGCCCUGCUUCCAGGAAAAGCCUCUAAGCAUCAGGUAACAUCAAAUCGUACCCCAAACCGACACAGGUGGUCAGGUAGAGAAUACCAAGGCGCUUGAGAGAACUCGGGUGAAGGAACUAGGCAAAAUGGUGCCGUAACUUCGGGAGAAGGCACGCUGAUAUGUAGGUGAGGUCCCUCGCGGAUGGAGCUGAAAUCAGUCGAAGAUACCAGCUGGCUGCAACUGUUUAUUAAAAACACAGCACUGUGCAAACACGAAAGUGGACGUAUACGGUGUGACGCCUGCCCGGUGCCGGAAGGUUAAUUGAUGGGGUUAGCGCAAGCGAAGCUCUUGAUCGAAGCCCCGGUAAACGGCGGCCGUAACUAUAACGGUCCUAAGGUAGCGAAAUUCCUUGUCGGGUAAGUUCCGACCUGCACGAAUGGCGUAAUGAUGGCCAGGCUGUCUCCACCCGAGACUCAGUGAAAUUGAACUCGCUGUGAAGAUGCAGUGUACCCGCGGCAAGACGGAAAGACCCCGUGAACCUUUACUAUAGCUUGACACUGAACAUUGAGCCUUGAUGUGUAGGAUAGGUGGGAGGCUUAGAAGUGUGGACGCCAGUCUGCAUGGAGCCGACCUUGAAAUACCACCCUUUAAUGUUUGAUGUUCUAACGUUGACCCGUAAUCCGGGUUGCGGACAGUGUCUGGUGGGUAGUUUGACUGGGGCGGUCUCCUCCUAAAGAGUAACGGAGGAGCACGAAGGUUGGCUAAUCCUGGUCGGACAUCAGGAGGUUAGUGCAAUGGCAUAAGCCAGCUUGACUGCGAGCGUGACGGCGCGAGCAGGUGCGAAAGCAGGUCAUAGUGAUCCGGUGGUUCUGAAUGGAAGGGCCAUCGCUCAACGGAUAAAAGGUACUCCGGGGAUAACAGGCUGAUACCGCCCAAGAGUUCAUAUCGACGGCGGUGUUUGGCACCUCGAUGUCGGCUCAUCACAUCCUGGGGCUGAAGUAGGUCCCAAGGGUAUGGCUGUUCGCCAUUUAAAGUGGUACGCGAGCUGGGUUUAGAACGUCGUGAGACAGUUCGGUCCCUAUCUGCCGUGGGCGCUGGAGAACUGAGGGGGGCUGCUCCUAGUACGAGAGGACCGGAGUGGACGCAUCACUGGUGUUCGGGUUGUCAUGCCAAUGGCACUGCCCGGUAGCUAAAUGCGGAAGAGAUAAGUGCUGAAAGCAUCUAAGCACGAAACUUGCCCCGAGAUGAGUUCUCCCUGACCCUUUAAGGGUCCUGAAGGAACGUUGAAGACGACGACGUUGAUAGGCCGGGUGUGUAAGCGCAGCGAUGCGUUGAGCUAACCGGUACUAAUGAACCGUGAGGCUUAACCU
rnacentral:rRNA from 1 species